CCUACGGGUGGCAGCAGUGGGGAAUAUUGCGCAAUGGGCGAAAGCCUGACGCAGCGACGCCGCGUGAGGGAUGAAGGUCUUCGGAUCGUAAACCUCUGUCAGCAGGGAAGAACGGUCACUGUGCUAAUCAGCAGUGAAUUGACGGUACCUGCAAAGGAAGCACCGGCUAACUCCGUGCCAGCAGCCGCGGUAAUACGGAGGGUGCGAGCGUUAAUCGGAAUUACUGGGCGUAAAGCGCUCGUAGGCGGUAUGUCAAGUCAAGUGUGAAAUCCCCGCGCUCAACGUGGGAACUGCCUUUGAAACUGGCAAACUUGAGUGUGUGAGAGGAAAGUGGAAGUCGUGGUGUAGGAGUGAAAUCCGUAGAUAUCUGGAGGAACAGCAGUGGCGAAGGCGACUAUCUGGCACAUAACUGACGCUGAGGAGCGAAAGCGUGGGUAGCAAACAGGAUUAGAUACCCUUGUAGUC
rnacentral:rRNA from 1 species